UUUAUAAAGAAUAAUCUUUUUUUAGAAA
rnacentral:tRNA from 36 species